rnacentral:rRNA from 1 species
GAUGAACGCUAGCGACAGGCCUAACACAUGCAAGUCGAGGGAUAGAGGAGAGCUUGCUUUCCUUGAGACCGGCGCACGGGUGAGUAACGCGUAUGCAACCUGGCCGUAAGAGGGGGAUAGCCUCUCGAAAGAGAGAUUAACACCGCAUAAUACUUCGAUAAAGCAUCUUAUUGCAGUUAAAUAUUUAUAGCUUACGGAUGGGCAUGCGUCUGAUUAGUUUGGUGGUAGGGUAACGGCCUACCAAGACUACGAUCAGUAGGGGUUCUGAGAGGAAGGUCCCCCACACUGGUACUGAGACACGGACCAGACUCCUACGGGAGGCAGCAGUGAGGAAUAUUGGUCAAUGGGCGAGAGCCUGAACCAGCCAAGUCGCGUGAAGGAAGACUGCCCUAUGGGUUGUAAACUUCUUUUGUAAGGGAAUAAAAAACGUUACGUGUAACGUCUUGUAGGUACCUUACGGAUAAGGAUCGGCUAACUCCGUGACAGCAGCCGCGGUAA